rnacentral:lncRNA from 1 species
AUCCAGAAGUAUCGAUUUGGUUUACUAGUCGAGUAUAUAGUGUAAGAUGUUGAUGCUGCAAAAUGUAUAACGGUUUCUGAUGUUAAUGAACCUUAAAGCCCUUGAUUGGAUUGAUUUACCGGAAUCGUUUCUUAAUGUUUGAGAUAGAAGACUGUUAGACCAAAGGCGGUUCUCGGAUCACAAUCCGAACUGUACUCGUUUAGCCACUCAUGCUAAUGAUCUUGUCCUGCAGGAGAUCUUUUUGCUGGUAGC